AAAACUAAACCCAUCACUACUCCCUAUUAUUCCCUCUUUCUUUCCCACCCCGACUACUCCGCGGUUCGUGUUUUCGGCUGUCUCUGUUUUCCCAAUUCCUACGCCACUUCUGCAAAUAAAUUGUCACCACGCUCUAUCCCAUGUGCUUUUCUCGGCUUCUCUGACGAGCACAAAGGCUAUCGCUGUCUCGACCUUCACACCGGACACGUUCAUGUCUCUCGUCAUGUCACGUUUGCUGAGCACAUUUUUCCUUUCUCACAACGCACUACUACACCAUCCAACACCCCUAGCUCCGCAAACACCCCCUCUCCCCGUCCUUUCCAACUAUAUACUCCCCUACCUGCCAAACACAACUUAUCACCACCACCAUUAACACCCACCAUAGCGAAUCCCAACCAU
rnacentral:rRNA from 1 species